rnacentral:rRNA from 1 species
AGAGUUUGAUCAUGGCUCAGGAUGAACGCUAGCUACAGGCUUAACACAUGCAAGUCGAGGGGAAACGACAUCGAAAGCUUGCUUUUGAUGGGCGUCGACCGGCGCACGGGUGAGUAACGCGUAUCCAACCUGCCCAUCACUUGGGGAUAACCUUGCGAAAGUAAGACUAAUACCCAAUGAUAUCUCUAGAAGACAUCUGAAAGAGAUUAAAGAUUUAUCGGUGAUGGAUGGGGAUGCGUCUGAUUAGCUUGUUGGCGGGGUAACGGCCCACCAAGGCUACGGAUCAGUAGGGGUUCUGAGAGAAGGUCCCCCACAUUGGAACUGAGACACGGUCAAACUCAUACGGAGGCA